CCUUUUUAAAAAUUAUUUUAUUCAAUAGGACAGAGAGAAAUUGAGAAGGAAGGGGGAGAUAGAGAGUGUGAGAGAAAGGUAGACACCUGCAGACCUGCUUUACCGCUUAUGAAGUGUCCCCACUGCAGGUGGGGACUGUGGGCUUGAACCUAUGUCCUUGGACUUAGUACUAAGUGCACUUAACUAGGUGCACCACCACCGUCCACCCCCUCCCUCCACUUUCUUAUCUUUACAUACUGUAUUACAUAAUUUCCAAGGCACUUUUACAUCAUCUCAUCCGAUCCUCACAGUCAUGACAUGAAGUGGACAAAGAAGGUCAUCAAUUGUGUGAUAGAUGAGGAAACUGAGACAAAGGGGGGGUUUGUGGGAGAGGUGGAGAGGCAUGGCCUGGCUCACACAGCCAAUAAGCAGUGCACUGGGACUAGAAUGUAGGCUACCUACGUUCUCUUCCAUACUUCCUUACUCAAUUGUGAAAAUGUUACUUAAAGGAAUGUUGAUGAUGACCUACGAGCUACUUAUGAUAUAACUUUCUAUUUUAAGAAAGACUUCUGGGGGCCAGGCAGUAGCACAGCAGGUUAAGCGCACAUGUGGUGCAAAGCUCAAGGACCGGUGUAAGGAUCCUGGUUUGAGCGGUGAAGCAGGUCUGCAGGUGUCUUAUUUUUCUCUCCCCCUCUCUGUCUUCCCCUCCUCUCUCCAUUUCUCUCUGUCCUAUCCAACAACAAUAGCAGCAAUGGCAACAAUAACAACAGCAAGGCAACAAAACAGGAAAAAUGGCCUCCAGGAACAGUGGAUUCGUAAUGUAGGCACUGAGCCCCAGCAAUAAACUUGGAGGCAAACUAAACAAACAAAUAAAUAAAUAAACUUUAAAAAAAGAAAAAGAAAGACUUCUAUCUGCAUUUCUUUGAGGUUUUUAGUGCCUCAAGUCUCCCUGUUGGCCAGACUGUCACCACAGUGUUCCCUAACCCAGUCUAGCCUAUGGCAGGAAAGUAGUGCUUAUCUCUGAAGUCUUGCUCCUUUGAAGCCAUACAGUAUCUUAAUAGUGAUACUUUUCUAAAGUCAGCCUGGGGUCAUAUCAUAGGUGCCUUAUUCCUUAAGGGUAAUAUUGUCUAGUACCGGUUUUGUAGAGUUUCUAUCUAUUAUUUUACAAAAUGAAAAGACUUUCCAGUAGGGUCUGAUCCCAAGAGAGGGCAAGAGAUAGGCUAUGUAGAGAAAUGACUAACUGUCAUAUCAAAUGUUAACCUUUGGGGCAUCCCCUCAAAGGAGUAACUGGGAUGGAGCUGAAACACUGGAGAAGCAACAGGUCUACUCUACAGAAUGAUGGCAGGAGAGAGGAGAUAGUCUGGGCUCUCAUUUGUCUUAAAGGUUUCAGGCAUUUAAUUGUCAGUGUUACUUUUUUCAAAAAGAAAAUAUUGGCCUUAGUGGCCUGAUUACAGGAUCGCAAAAUUGUCAGUGAAAUAUCUUGUCAUGUCUAUAGUGAUAGUGGACUGUUUGUUUCACAGCGUUUAAAGCUGUCUGCUUUUUUCUUUUUUGGAGAAAUAUAAAUUUCAGAGAUGGAGAUUCAGAUGAGUGGCUUUUCUUUCUUUUUUUCUAAUCAGUCACUGACAUAUCAAUGCAGCUCUAUUUUAUCACCUUCUGUGUAUGUUUUAAAAGCAGAACUUACAUAAUGGAGCCAAAAAAAAAUAGGUGAAGGUUGAUUUAAAAAUUCCUUGGAAUAUCAGUUACUACUCCUUUUAAAAUCUGGUUUUGGUUUUCUCUGUUCUGUUUCUUUAGUGAGAACAUCAUCACUGUGCCAGAUCCUAUACAUAAAGGGUAUGAAAAUGAUCUGUGUUGUAAAGAUGUUUUUCAUGUGAUGUUAUAUGAAUGCAUUUAAAAAUCAGCAGGGCCAGAGAGAUGACAUACCUACUGUGGCGUAUACCUUGCCAUGCAUGUGACCCAGGUUCAAGCCCUGGCACCAAAUGGGAGGUACUGUGACACUGGAGCGGUCAUGGAGCUGUGGCGCCUCUGCCUCCCUCUUCCUGUCUGUCUCCCUAUCUGAAUGAAACAGUGGCUCGAGAGCAGUGAGAACACACAGGCACACACGUGUGAAACCUGAGCUCCACAAAAUAGACUCUUCACCUCUGCAGUGCAGGUAGGUUAAUUGUGAGGGUGCAGGGGUUGGUUCAAAGUACCCGGUCAGAUAGCUUUUUCUCUUCCACAAAACCGGUGCUGAGCACGAGUGAGUGCUCUAACUCACUGUAAGAACAAAGUUAUCUGAGUACUUUUUCCAUAGACUACUGGGUACCCAGGAACAAAGCUACCAGAGAUUAUUUAUAAUAUCCUUUGACUACGGAACUGAGAGAGUACUUGGCAACUCCAAGAUUCCGGGUUCUAGAUCUUAAGCAGCCGUAUCUGAACUUUUCCUGAACUUGUGUGUCUGUGUGGUGGGCAUUGAUUGUCAAAACUGACGUGUCAUGUGGUGGGUGUCACUUUAACCUCUUGGAACAAUCACAGCAAACUACAGCCCAUGUUCCCUAUUACUGAAUUCAAGUUGAAUUUUUACUUUAAACUGAGAUGAUUCUUGAUCCUAACCAGUUGGGGUGGGGGGUGAGAAGAGUGUCAUUUCUCCUAGUUGGAUUUCUGGGAAAAGAUUCUUGAAAACUUUACAUGACCCUGAAGCAUCAGAUCUGGGGUGAUUAUUUGGGGAAAGCAUAAAUGACAAUCCUUUAUUGUGUUUUGCCAUCUAUGGCAUUUAUUGAAAUAAGAAUACACUGUGAUUGUGCUAUCUUCUGGCCAGUGUUAAGCAAAUCUGCUUCCAGUUUGGUUAAUUCUAUUUGCUCUUGAAGAGAGAGAGGCACAAUUUAAUCUUUGCCUCCACAAGCAUAUUAGAGCUUCUAUGUUAAUUCACUUUUACACUUCAACAUUAAACAUCCUGAGUAAAUGAAUAAAUGGACAUAUUUAUUCAUCUUAAUUUUCUUGCAACAGUAAGCUCAGACUUCAUAUGGUAUUGUUGGAUUUCAGAGGCUCUCUGGUAUUGAAGUAAAUCUAAGUAAAUGUUGCCAUUAAUUUUUCUAGUAUAUGUAACCAUGUGAUUCAUACCAAUGUAAUCAGGAAGCAGUGUGGUGAUUGUGGCAAGAAUGUUUCCAGUGCAUCUGUCUUCCUGAUCCUACUUUAUUUCAUGUGUCAGUGUUUACAUUAUAAACUUAUUAUAUUUUCUGUGAAAGGAAAAGCUAAAUAAAUCUUGGCAGUUUG